rnacentral:misc_RNA from 1 species
GAAAUGCGAUAAGUAAUGUGAAUUGCAGAAUUAAGUGAAUCAUCGAAUCUUUGAACGCAUCUUGCGCUCCUUGGUAUUCCUUGGAGCAUGCCUGUUUGAGUAUCAUGAAAUCUUCAAAGUAAAUCUUUUGUUAACUCAAUUGGUUUCUACUUUGGUAUUGGAGGUCUUUGCAGCUUCACACCUGCUCCUCUUUGUUCAUUAGCUGGAUCUCAGUGUUAUGCUUGGUUCCACUCGGCGUGAUAAGUUAUCUAUCGCUGAGGACACUGUAAAAGGUGGCCAAGGUAAAUGCAGAUGAACCGCUUCUAAUAGUCCAUUGACUUGGACAAUACUUUUAUGAUCUGAUCUCAAAUCAGGUAGGACUACCCGCUGAACUUAAGC